AGACAUCUGACCCAAAGGAUGCCGGGCUUCCUCCAGAUAUAGUUGUAAAUAAACAUAAUGUAGGCGAGGAUGUUCUUACAAAUGUAAGUCCUUUAAGGACUAUCUUUCCUUCAACCUCGUCCGAUAAGUAGAUUGUAACAACCCUGUAUUCUUAAUGAAAUUUUAAUUUCUUUUUACUUGAAUUAUUUUUCGCUUUAUAAUUU
rnacentral:lncRNA from 1 species